rnacentral:rRNA from 1 species
UACGUAGGGACCAAGCGUUGUCCGGAAUCAUUGGGCGUAAAGAGCGUGUAGGCGGCUUGUUAAGUCUUGCGUGAAAUCUCGGGGCUCAACCCCGAGCGGUCGUGAGAAACUGGCAGGCUAGAGUGCGGGAGAGGAGAGUGGAAUUCCUGGUGUAGCGGUGAAAUGCGCAGAUAUCAGGAGGAACACCGGUGGCGAAGGCGGGUCUCUGGGCCGUAACUGACGCUGAGGAGCGAAAGCGUGGGGAGCGAACAGG